GGCUCGUUGGUCUAGGGGUAUGAUUCUCGCUUUGGGUGCGAGAGGUCCCGGGUUCCGGGUUCAAAUCCCGGACGAGCCC